CAAUAGCGUAUAUUAAAGUUGUUGCGGUUAAAAAGCUCGUAGUUGGAUUUCUGUUGGGAACGACCGGUCCGCCCAUUGGGUGUGUAUCUGGCUUGUUCUCGGCAUCUUCUUGGUGAACGUUGCUGCACUUGACUGUGUGGAGCGCUACCCAGGACUUUUACUUUGAGGAAAUUAGAGUGUUUCAAGCAGGCAUAUGCCUUGAAUACAUUAGCAUGGAAUAAUAAGAUAGGACCUCGGUUCUAUUUUGUUGGUUUCUAGAGCUGAGGUAAUGAUUAAUAGGGAUAGUUGGGGGCAUUCGUAUUUAACUGUCAGAGGUGAAAUUCUUGGAUUUGUUAAAGACGGACUGCUGCGAAAGCAUUUGCCAAGGAUGUUUNCAUUG
rnacentral:rRNA from 1 species